UUAGAACUCUGCAGUAGGUGAUGAGAAUGGUUGCUUACAGAAGCUGAUGCAGUUCAUCGCUAUCCCAGCCACAGCUGCACUGAAUCAGCUUCUGUAAGCAACCAUUCUCAUCACCUGCUG
rnacentral:pre_miRNA from 14 species